GGGCCCGCACAAGCGGUGGAGCAUGUGGUUUAAUUCGAUGAUACGCGAGGAACCUUACCAGGGCUUAAAUGUAAGUUGCAUAAAUCAGAGAUGAUUUUUUCUUCGGACUACUUACAAGGUGCUGCAUGGUUGUCGUCAGCUCGUGCCGUGAGGUGUCAGGUUAAGUCCUAUAACGAGCGCAACCCCUGUCGUUAGUUGCCAUCAAGUAAUGUUGGGUACUCUAGCGAGACUGCCGGUGCAAACCGAGAGGAAGGUGGGGAUGACGUCAAAUCAUCACGGCCCUUACGUCCUGGGCUACACACGUGCUACAAUGGCCGGUACAGAGAGCAGCCACUACGCGAGUAGGAGCGAAUCUUCAAAACCGGUCUCAGUUCGGAUCGCAGUCUGCAACUCGACUGCGUGAAGCUGGAAUCGCUAG
rnacentral:rRNA from 1 species